GCAGUCGUGGCCGAGCGGAUAAGGCGAUGGACUUGAAAUCCAUUGGGGUCUCCCCGCACAGGUUCGAAUCCUGUCGACAUGCG
rnacentral:tRNA from 1 species